rnacentral:rRNA from 1 species
CCUACGGGAGGCUGCAGUAGGGAAUAUUCGGCAAUGGGGGGAACCCUGACCGAGCAACGCCGCGUGAAGGAAGAAGUUAUUCGUAAUGUAAAGUUCUUUUAACAGGGAAGAAAGAGAAAUUUGACGGUACCUGAAGAAUAAGCUCCGGCUAAAUACGUGCCAGCAGCCGCGGUAAUACGUAGGGAGCGAGCGUUAUCCGGAAUUAUUGGGCGUAAAGGGUGCGUAGAUGGCAUAGUAAGUCUUUUGUAAAAAUGCUGGGCUCAACCCAGUAGGGCAAAAGAUACUGCAAAGCUAGAGUAUGACAGAGGCAAGUGGAACUACAUGUGUAGCGGUGAAAUGCGUAGAUAUAUGUAAGAACACCAGUGGCGAAGGCGGCUUGCUGGGUCGAUACUGACAUUGAGGCACGAAAGCGUGGGGAGCAAACAGGAUUAGAUACCCCAGUAGUC